AACUAACGCUAUUAUUGAUACAGUUUCUGUAUUAUAUUGGUACGCGAAGACUUCCAACCCGCCUCUGGGCGGUUAUGUUUGGUCAAUUUCUUUUGACCGGGGUAUACGGACCCC
rnacentral:misc_RNA from 1 species